rnacentral:rRNA from 1 species
GACGAACGCUGGCGGCGUGCUUAACACAUGCAAGUCGAACGGAAAGGCCCUGCUUUUGUGGGAUGCUCGAGUGGCGAACGGGUGAGUAACACGUGAGUAACCUGCCCUUGACUUUGGGAUAACUUCAGGAAACUGGGGCUAAUACCGGAUAGGAGCUCCUGCUGCAUGGUGGGGGUUGGAAAGUUUCGGCGGUUGGGGAUGGACUCGCGGCUUAUCAGCUUGUUGGUGGGGUAGUGGCUUACCAAGGCUUUGACGGGUAGCCGGCCUGAGAGGGUGACCGGCCACAUUGGGACUGAGAUACGGCCCAGACUCCUACGGGAGGCAGCAGUGGGAAAUAUUGCACAAUGGGCGGAAGCCUGAUGCAGCAACGCCGCGUGCGGGAUGACGGCCUUCGGGUUGUAAACCGCUUUCGCCUGUGACGAAGCGUGAGUGACGGUAAUGGGUAAAGAAGCACCGGCUAACUACGU